CAGAGGUCUCAAGCGUUGUUCGGAUUCAUUGGGCGUAAAGGGUGCGUAGGUGGCGAUGUAAGUCGGGCGUGAAAUCCCGGGGCUCAACCCCGGAACUGCGUUCGAUACUGCCUUGCUUGAGGACUGGAGAGGAGACUGGAAUUCACGGUGUAGCAGUGAAAUGCGUAGAUAUCGUGAGGAACACCGGUGGCGAAGGCGGGUCUCUAGACAGUUCCUGACACUGAGGCACGAAGGCCAGGGGAGCAAACGGGAUUAGAUACCCCGGUAGUCCUGGCAGUAAACGGUGCACGUUUGGUGUGGGAGGAUUCGACCCCUUCCGUGCCGGAGCUAACGCGUUAAACGUGCCGCCUGGGGAGUACGGUCGCAAGAUUA
rnacentral:rRNA from 1 species